GGGCCUGUAGUUCAGUUGGGAGAACGUCACGUUCGCAAUGUGAAGGUCAGGGGUUCAAAUCCCCUCAGGUCCA
rnacentral:tRNA from 1 species